rnacentral:sRNA from 1 species
UUCACUCAACUAUUAGCUAGGUAUAGUUUUAUUCCUAAACCACUUAUAUUCCUUUGAACAUAAUACACCCUUCUCCCUUCACAAGAGAUUUCAAUAAGGAUGCACGGUGAGAAACAAAAAAAAGAGGCAUCACAUCCAACAACUCAUCUGUUUACAAGAUAUACCACCCUCUCCCCCAAAAAAACUAUGCUGUAAACAUUGCAGGCCUCAAUUCCUGCAAAUCUAUUCUCCAGGAAAAUGAUGUCUAACCCCAACUCAACCAGUGAUCUGGAGUUGCCCUAUGCUUCUUCGCAGUAUCCUUGUGCCGAAACUGAUCUCUUCUUAGUUUGUAAUCCAUCCACUAACCAAAAACAGUGCGACAAGCAUAUGGCAUGUCACGUCAUCUUGCUCUGGAUUUGCCUGUGCACAUGCACAAGGAACUCCACAUAGGAAAGGCCACCAGGUGCCUUGUCCUCUGUCAAAAAUGAGCGGAAGAAAUCACCUGCAGAUGAAUCAAAUGUUUGUAUUCAUACCUUAAAUAAGAACAUCUCUGGCGUCUUAUUUCAUUAAUUACUUCAUUUACCUUCCGUGACAGUUCAUUAUACGGUUAACAUACUGACCUGACUUGGUAAUGCAGCCAAAGAAGACACACCAAAUAUUUGUUCGAGGAUGGUCGGCUCUACCACAUUUCCUACAUAAAUUAGACCAUCCUCACCAUUUUCCAAUAAAUAGACUCCAUCUUCACGUAUAUUUUCACUAUUGAGCAUAAGGGGACUAGGAAUAAGUGAUUCAUCGUCUCCCUGAAAAAAAUCAUGAAUCGGAAUCAAUCUAGGGAACACCAAUGGAACAGCUAAUAGAACAGAAACUGAGGAGACGAGGGAUAUCCAAUAUGAACGAUCAUCCAACCGCCCCUCAUUUCGCAAGCCUAUGCUUUU